ensembl:lncRNA
CGACAAGCUAUUUGGGUUCUGUACGCCUACCUGUAAACCGAUCGCUCCAGAAAUACAGAAGCAACACAAGCUUCUGAAUCAGAAAAAACACGGAGUAAAAUGAGGGUGAAUUUGGAUUUGGCAUUUAUUAGAUGCCAGAGCCCUACAAAACAACCUCCAAUGGGCUACUGGUGUGCAUGUUUCUGACCAAACUGUCAGAAACAGACUCCAUGAGGCUGGCAUGAGGGACCGAUGUCCUCUAGUGGGACCUGUGCUCACAGCCAAGCACCGUGCAGCUCAAUUGGCAUUCGCCAGAGAACACCAGAAUUGGCAGGAUCCGCUUUUGGCAUCCCAUUCUGUUCACAGAUGAGAGCAUGUUCAACAUCAUCCAGCAUGAAUGGUUUGGUGGUGGGUCAGUGAUGGUCUGGGGAGGCAUAUCCUUGGAGGGUCACACAGACCUCCACGUGCUGGGAUGAAAUCCUCAGACUCAUCGUCAGGCCUUACGCUGGUGCAGUGGGCCCUGGGUUCCUCCUGGUGCUGGACAGUUCCCGGUUUCGUAAUGCCAGUGUGUAGGCAGUUCCUGGAUGAUGAAUGCAUUGAUGCCAUUAACUGGCCCUCACAUUUCCUAGCCUUGAAUCCAAUUGAGAACCUCAGGGACAUUAUGUAUUGGUGCAUCUGAUGCCGCCAAGUAGUGCCACAGACUGACCAGGAGUUCACUGAGGCCCUGAGCCAGGUCUGGGAGGAGAUCUCCGAGGGCACCAUCCACCGCUCAUCAGGAACAUGCCCAGACGUUGUCGGGAGUGCAUACAAGCACGUGGGGGCCAUACACACUACUGAGUUACAUUAUGAUUUGCCGUGAUUUCAAUUGUUUACUUUGAUUUUUGUUGGUGAUUUUGGUUUCCAUUGACUGUUGUUUUUUUUUACUUUAAAAUGUUAGAGCUUCAGUAGCUGCAUGUUCCAAUAAUGUAAUGUGUUGUUUUUCGGGUGCUUCAAAACACUUUCUAAUAAAGAUGAAUUUCCCUCACAAUUGAAGCCUAGCAGGGCAAUGUAAGUCAAGGCAUUGUUUUUAAAUUGAAAAAUACUUAUUUAGUGCAGAAAAUAAUGUGAUUAAUUGCAAUAAUUAUUUGAACCAUUUAGUAACUUUAGUAUUCUUUUUUCCAGCAUGCUUUGUACCGAACACAGAAUAUCUGCCACAAAGCUCCUGUUAAGGAAUCAGCUAGUAUGUUUAAUUUGCAUCAAUUAUUCAUUAGUGUAAUUGUACACAGUUCAGGGAGACAGGUUGAGUUUUAUUACCAGGCAUGCAGUGAAUGUUCCUGCAUACAGAUUGGUAGGUGAUUAUUAUCAUUCUAGAAUGUAUUCUACUGAAAUAACAAUCUUGCUCCUUGCCUGUAAGUUAUUAAUGCAUGGCAUUAACAUUAUAUUUGUUCUGUUGGCCUUAAUCUUUGUCUUUGUUUCAUACUUGCAAUAUUUCCUGACUGUAUAUGCAUAAACACUUUGAUCCACACCAAUGCACUCUCAUAUUUAUUAAUAAACCCAAAUA